rnacentral:piRNA from 1 species
CAACAAUUCAGAGCACAUUACCUAUC